UUCUGAAGGACACACAAGACACGGGAGAUCGAGUCCAGACCUGAACUUGAAAUAUAUGGUGUCCUUAUCCUCUAACAUAAGGCUGCCUAAUGAGGUUGAAAAUGCAUCAUCCAUCCACGAGGUUUGUGUAAAAGUGCACAAAAACAUCAUCGCGUACAGACAGUGGUGUGAAAUUCGAAAAUCUAAGCUGGGUUUAAAAAAAAAAAGGAAGAAAGAAAAAGCCGACUACUGAGCCGGUUCCUUCUUGGGUCCUAGGUCCGCAACACAGAGCCCGGAGGGAAGCCCCCUAGGAAGGUUGCCGGCCCUACUGUCCUCACUCCCUACCUCAUGGAGGCUGGGAGUCCCGCUCCUUUCCCUCAUGGGUACAACCCCCGUGCCGGUUCACUUCCUCACCGAGAGUCGCGGACCAGCUCUCCCGACCCGGUAAACCGCAGACACUGUCAAGCGCUGGCUCCUCGGCGAUCGUCCCGCAGCAAAGACUCAAGCUCGGGUCGUACGGCAGGAAGCUGCUCAACGCGCAGCCGCCGCGGCCUCCAACCACCGGCCAGCGGAGGGGCGCUAGGCCGCCCCCAACCAGCUCACUGCGGCCAGGACGAGGCAGGGGAAGGGAGCCGCGGCGUCGCGACGCCGCGGCCAGCGAGGUAAGUAGUCAUAAGUGUCUGUCCGCCCCUUGGGGUAACUCCUGUCCUAACGGCAAGCUCUGCCGUCUUCGCCUGUCGUUUUCUCCCCCGCUUCUGCAGCCGACAGGAAUGGAACAGUCCCGCGGGGGGAUUGUGGGAGGCGCACGCGCGAGGGGUGGAGGGUUUGUGGGGGGGGGGGCCGGGGGAGGGGGAGGCGGCGGCGGCAGUGGCGGCGGUUGGUGGCAGUGGGGGCGGGGAAGGGGGGGAGGAGAGGAGAGGAGGUGGAGGAGGAGGCUUGGGUUCUCGCUGCCGAAGGUACGCGUGAGGGCCCGCGGUAGAGCUGGCUUGACAGGGGCCAAGGGGAAGUGGGGGACUGUGCGAGGAGGCGCCCCAGAGCGAGUGCGUACUGGCUGGCGGGCGCGCAAGGCGGCCGAAGGCGGUGGUUGGUGGGAGCAGCGAGCGACGAGCCCAGAUACACUCUGGCGCGUGCGGGCGGCCGUGCGCGCUCCGCCGCCCGUGUCGGUCCGCUCACCCGCUGGCCGCCUCCUGACAAGCGGGAGGGAUCCGCUGUGGACCAAGGGAAGCGGAGGAGCCUGGUGGCGGCCGCCCCCUCUUCCCCACUUCCCUGCACUCUCAUCUCUCUCGGCCUCGGCCUCUGACACGUGCCUGGCUGCUUAG
ensembl:lncRNA